rnacentral:rRNA from 1 species
AGUGGACGCUGGCGGUAGGCCUAACACAUGCAAGUCGAACGGCAGCACAGUAAGAGCUUGCUCUUACGGGUGGCGAGUGGCGGACGGGUGAGGAAUACAUCGGAAUCUACUUUUUCGUGGGGGAUAACGUAGGGAAACUUACGCUAAUACCGCAUACGACCUACGGGUGAAAGCAGGGGAUCUUCGGACCUUGCGCGAUUGAAUGAGCCGAUGUCGGAUUAGCUAGUUGGCGGGGUAAAGGCCCACCAAGGCGACGAUCCGUAGCUGGUCUGAGAGGAUGAUCAGCCACACUGGAACUGAGACACGGUCCAGACUCCUACGGGAGGCAGCAGUGGGGAAUAUUGGACAAUGGGCGCAAGCCUGAUCCAGCCAUACCGCGUGGGUGAAGAAGGCCUUCGGGUUGUAAAGCCCUUUUGUUGGGAAAGAAAAGCAGUAGGUUAAUACCCCGCUGUUCUGACGGUACCCAAAGAAUAAGCACCGGCUAACUUCGUG